UACGGAGGGUGCAAGCGUUAUCCGGAUUCACUGGGUUUAAAGGGUGCGUAGGUGGGCAGUUAAGUCAGUGGUGAAAUCUCCGGGCUCAACCCGAAAACUGCCAUUGAUACUAUCUGUCUUGAAUAUCGUGGAGGUAAGCGGAAUAUGUCAUGUAGCGGUGAAAUGCUUAGAUAUGACAUAGAACACCAAUUGCGAAGGCAGCUUACUACCCGAAUAUUGACACUGAGGCACGAAAGCGUGGGGAUCAAACAGG
rnacentral:rRNA from 1 species